GUGCUCUCAUCCAUUGAAGAGCUGACCAGAAACGUGAACAGAAAGACUGCACCUGAUGGGAUCCCUGCCAUAACGGAUGUGUUCUGUCCAGUGAAGGCAGUGGAGAAGCCCUACACUGAUCUUGAAACUGUGCCACGCUAGUAGAGACCGGCUACAAGGAUGGGCAGCUGUUUUCGCAAAGUCAGCCAACCACUUGCUUCCAAAUGACCCUUAUCCAGAAGUAUCCGUGAGUGCCUCAUCAACAGAAACUAAAGUGGAGACCUACCUCUCAGAGAAAAACGCACACAUAAGAAAAGCCGACCCACUUCAGUACUGAGAAGAACAUCCUAAUCUGUUUCCCUCUAUGGCUGCUGUUGCAAUCCCAGUGUGCCCCCUGUAGCUCUGUGGACAGUUUUGGAUUUGUUUACAUCUCACCCCAACCGGUCAUGACAGAUGGCCGCCCCUCCCUGAGCCUGGUUCUGCCGGAGGUUUCUUCCUGUCAAAAGGGAGUUUUUCCUUCCCACUGUCGCCAAAGUGCUUGCUCAUAGGGGGUCAUAUGAUUGUUGGGUUUAUCUAUAUACAUUAAUUCUUGUAUGCUUUUCAUUUAUACUUUUGCCUUACUCUUCAGUUCAUAAUAUAAAGUUACUUGAAUGUUUUCCUUUUCCUUUUUAUUUUAUAUUGCUUUGCUAUUUACCACAAUCUAAAUAUCAUGUUUAAAUGUCAUACAUUAUUGUAAAUGGUAUUUGUACAAAAUAUUAUUUGAAUAACAUGAUACAUUUUAGUCCCACAAGGGGAAAUUUCAUAAUUUUCAUGUGGAAUUUCCCCUUUCACAUUAAAAU
ensembl:lncRNA